rnacentral:rRNA from 1 species
UACACUCCUGCGGGAGGCAGCAGUGGGGAAUUUUGGACAAUGGGCGAAAGCCUGAUCCAGCAAUGCCGCGUGAGUGAAGAAGGCCUUCGGGUUGUAAAGCUCUUUUGUCAGGGAAGAAACGGUGAGAGCUAAUAUCUCUUGCUAAUGACGGUACCUGAAGAAUAAGCACCGGCUAACUACGUGCCAGCAGCCGCGGUAAUACGUAGGGUGCAAGCGUUAAUCGGAAUUACUGGGCGUAAAGCGUGCGCAGGCGGUUUUGUAAGUCUGAUGUGAAAUCCCCGGGCUCAACCUGGGAAUUGCAUUGGAGACUGCAAGGCUAGAAUCUGGCAGAGGGGGGUAGAAUUCCACGUGUAGCAGUGAAAUGCGUAGAUAUGUGGAGGAACACCGAUGGCGAAGGCAGCCCCCUGGGUCAAGAUUGACGCUCAUGCACGAAAGCGUGGGGAGCAAACAGGAUUAGAUACCCCUGUAUCCCAU